GUCUUUUUGAGUUAUUUUUAAAGUCUGACCUGCCCACUGAAUUUUAAAUGGCCGCAGUAUUUUAACUGUGCAAAGGUAGCAUAAUCAUUAGUCUUUUAAUUGAAGGCUGGUAUGAACGGUUGGACGAGGUAUAAGCUGUUUCAUGUAGAUUUAUGAUAGAAUUUUAUAUUUUAGUUAAAAAGCUAAGAUGUAAUUAAAAGACGAGAAGACCCUAUAAAUCUUUAUAUUUUAUAUAGUUUGAAUUUUUUAGAUUUAUUUUAUUUUUAUUAUAUGAAAUAUUUUGUUGGGGUGAUAUUAAAAUUUAAUAAACUUUUAAUUAUUUUAGUUCAUUAAUUUAUGUUUUAUUGAUCCAUUAAUAGUGAUUAUAAGAUUAAGUUACUUUAGGGAUAACAGCGUAAUUUUUUUGGAGAGUUCAUAUCGAUAAAAAAGUUAGCGACCUCGAUGUUGGAUUAAGAUAUAAUUUUAGGUGUAGCUGCUUAAAUGUUAAGUCUGUUCGACUUUUAAAUUCUU
rnacentral:rRNA from 1 species